rnacentral:rRNA from 1 species
AACGGGGUACCCGAAACGGAGACUUCGGUUGAAGUUUUGGACUACCUAGUGGCGGACGGGUGAGUAACGCGUGAGCAAUCUGCCUCACAGAGGGGGAUAACACAGAGAAAUUUUGUGCUAAUACCGCAUAACAUAUAGAGGAGACAUCUUCUUUAUAUCAAAGAUUUAUCGCUGUGAGAUGAGCUCGCGUCUGAUUAGCUAGUUGGUGGGGUAACGGCCUACCAAGGCGACGAUCAGUAGCCGGUCUGAGAGGAUGAACGGCCACAUUGGGACUGAGAUACGGCCCAGACUCCUACGGGAGGCAGCAGUGGGGAAUAUUGGGCAAUGGGCGAAAGCCUGACCCAGCAAUGCCGCGUGAAGGAAGAAGGCCUUCGGGUUGUAAACUUCUUUUACCGAGGACGAAGAAAUGACGGUACUCGGCGAAUAAGCUCCGGCUAACUACGUG